rnacentral:rRNA from 1 species
AAGACCUUGCACUUUUGGAGCGGCCGAUGUCUGAUUAGCUAGUUGGUGGGGUAAUGGCCUACCAAAGCUUCGAUCAGUAGCUGGUCUGAGAGGACGGCCAGCCACACUGGGACUGAGACACGGCCCAGACUCCUACGGGAGGCAGCAGUGGGGAAUUUUGGACAAUGGGCGCAAGCCUGAUCCAGCCAUGCCGCGUGAGUGAAGAAGGCCUUCGGGUUGUAAAGCUCUUUCAGCCGGGAAGAAAAGGUUGCGACUAAUAAUCGCAAUUCAUGACGGUACCGAAAGAAGAAGCACCGGCUAACUACGUGCCAGCAGCCGCGGUAAUACGUAGGGUGCGAGCGUUAAUCGGAAUUACUGGGCGUAAAGGGUGCGCAGGCGGUUUUGUAAGUCAGAUGUGAAAUCCCCGGGCUCAACCUGGGAACU